UCUGAAACAAACCCAACAUCUCAGUCUCAGUGUUACAGGAUACAUUCAUUGAUUCAUCAGAACCAGAACUACAACUUCAAGAUCAAGUUUAAAUCAAAAUAUCAAAAAUUAAAAUACAGUGAGAAAAGCCUUACAUGUCUUUAAUGUACAUGGUGUUGUAGAGUGUUCAUACUUACUUAAGCACUUAAUAUUCCCUCUCCAUUCUCCGUGUUCACAGGUCAAGUAUUUGGAGUAGGGGUAACGCUGAACCAGUAUGUAUUUAUUAAAGCAGGUGUAUUCAACUCUCUCGCCUGAAUUGUAUUCCUUUUUUGCCAUUUCCGUUGUAUCUGCAGAGUUCAGAUGUGGUGGUGGC